CAAGACUUGACAUCCCGCUGACCGCUCUAGAGAUAGGGUUUCCCUUCGGGGCAGCGGUGACAGGUGGUGCAUGGUUGUCGUCAGCUCGUGUCGUGAGAUGUUGGGUUAAGUCCCGCAACGAGCGCAACCCCUAUGUUGUGUUGCCAUCAUUUAGUUGGGCACUUACAACAGACUGCCGGUGACAAACCGGAGGAAGGCGGGGAUGACGUCAAAUCAUCAUGCCCCUUAUGUCUUGGGCUACACACGUGCUACAAUGGGCGGUACAAAGAGACGCGAGACCGCGAGGUGGAGCCAAUCUCAUAAAGCCGUUCGUAGUUCGGAUUGCAGGCUGCAACUCGCCUGCAUGAAGCCGGAAUUGCUAGUAAUCGCGGAUCAGCAUGCCGCGGUGAAUUCGUUCCCGGGCCUUGUACACACCGCCCGUCACACCACGGGAGUUGGCAACACCCAAAGUCGGUGAGGUAACCUUCGGGAGCCAGCCGCCUAAGGUGGGGUCGAUGACUGGGGUG
rnacentral:rRNA from 1 species